rnacentral:rRNA from 1 species
GGGGGGGGGGGGGGGGGGGGGGGGGGGAGGGGGGUGGGGGGGGGGGGGGAGGAGGGGGGGGGGGGCGCGAGGGGCGAGCGGGGGAGGAGCACGGGAGUGACAGGCCCGUGAGUUUGGGAUAACUGGAGUGAGAAGGGGGUAGUAACGGAUAGGGGCACCUGCUGCCUGGUGGGGGUUGGAAACAUUCGGCGGAUGGUGAUGGACUCGCAGCUUAUCAGCUUUUGGGUGGGGUAGUGGCUUACCAAGGCUUUGACGGGUAGCCGGCCUGAGAGCGUGACCGGCCACAUUGGGACUGAGAUACGGCCCAGACUCCUACGGGAGGCAGCAGUGGGGAAUAUUGCACAAUGGGCGGAAGCCUGAUGCAGCAACGCCGCGUGCGGGAUGACGGCCUUCGGGUUGUAAACCGCUUUCGCCUGUGACGAAGCGUGAGUGACGGUAAUGGGUAAAGAAGCACCGGCUAACUACGUG